rnacentral:rRNA from 1 species
AGUGAACGCUGGCGGUAGGCCUAACACAUGCAAGUCGAACGGCAGCACAGUAAGAGCUUGCUCUUACGGGUGGCGAGUGGCGGACGGGUGAGGAAUACAUCGGAAUCUACUUUUUCGUGAGGGAUAACGUAGGGAAACUUACGCUAAUACCGCAUACGACCUACGGGUGAAAGCAGGGGAUCUUCGGACCUUGCGCGAUUGAAUGAGCCGAUGUCGGAUUAGCUAGUUGGCGGGGUAAAGGCCCACCAAGGCGACGAUCCGUAGCUGGUCUGAGAGGAUGAUCAGCCACACUGGAACUGAGACACGGUCCAGACUCCUACGGGAGGCAGCAGUGGGGAAUAUUGGACAAUGGGCGCAAGCCUGAUCCAACCAUACCGCGUGGGUGAAGAAGGCCUUCGGGUUGUAAAGCCCUUUUGUUGGGAAAGAAAAGCAGCAGGUUAAUACCCCGCUGUUCUGACGGUACCCAAAGAAUAAGCACCGGCUAACUUCGUG